UACGAAGGGGGCUAGCGUUGCUCGGAAUUACUGGGCGUAAAGGGCGCGUAGGCGGAUGUCUAAGUUGGGGGUGAAGUCCCGGGGCUCAACCUCGGAAUUGCCUUCAAAACUGGAUAUCUUGAGUUCGGGAGAGGUGAGUGGAACUCCGAGUGUAGAGGUGAAAUUCGUAGAUAUUCGGAAGAACACCAGUGGCGAAGGCGACUCACUGGCCCGAUACUGACGCUGAGGCGCGAAAGCGUGGGGAGCAAACAGG
rnacentral:rRNA from 1 species